AGCAACCACUGCCAUAUUUCCCUGGGAUCGAAGAAGGAAGAGAAGAAAUUACAGGAGAGACCUGAUGGUGUUAAUUUUCUCAGAAGGAAGAACCCUUACAAGGAGAGAAUGGAAUGAAAAGGAGAGAUAAAGGAUGGAGCUGAUCCAUGAAGAAGUACAAAGGGAUGGGACCUAAAACAUGACUGGAGAAACCAUUCUUAGAUAGCAGACCAGAAGGAAGAGGAAGAAGUAGGUACAGAUAGAGGUGAUGUGGGUAAGGCUCAGAGAAGUCAAGUCACUUACCUGGGGUCACGGUGAAUAAGUGACAGAGCUGUAGUCGAAGUGAAAAAUGGCAGAAGCAGCCCAGAGGCCGUCGAGCAAAGCAAGAAUGCUGCAAAUCUGAAUCCCUUUCUUGUGUUUGAAAAACCGGUUGCUUUUUGAGGUGGACAGUGAUCAUCACUACAGAAGUUGGAAACUCCAGGUGAAGAGCAGAGAAGAAUAUUCCUGAAGAUUAUGUGAGUUAUACAUCAAUGUGGGGCCCAUACUAACCACCUUGAGAUGUACAGUUGCAUGCUCUACUGACUGAGUCAUCCAGCUUCCCUAUUCCCUGAGACACAACAAUAUUGAAAUUCGGCAAAUUAAUAACCAUACAAUGGCCUCUCCAUGUUCCAGUGAAAAGAAGAGGCACAGGUCCUUCAUUUUGAAUUAAAAGCUAGAAAUGACUAAGCUCAAUGAGGAAAGCAUGUUGAAAGCUAAUACAGAGCUGAGAGCUAGGCCUCUUGUGCCAGUUAGCCCAUCUGAAUAAAAAGGAAAAGUUCUUGAAGGAAAUAAAAAGUGCUGCUCCAGUGAACAUAUGAAUAAGAAGAAAGGGAAACACCCUUAUUGCUGAUUUGGAGAAAGUUUGAGUGGUCUGAAAAGAAGAUCAAGCCAGCCAUGACCAUCUCUGAAGCCAAAGCCCGAUCCAGAGCAAGGCCCUCAGUCUCUGCAAUUCUAUGCAAGCUGAGGGAGGUGAGGAAGCUGCAGAGGAAAAGUUUGAAGGUAGUAGAGGUUGGCUCUGAAGUUUUAAGGAAAGAAGUCAUCUACUUACCAUAAAAGUCUAAUGCGAAGCAGUCAGUGCUGAUGUAGAAGCUGCAGCAAGUUCCCCAGAACAUCUAGCUCAGGUAAUAAAUGAGGUUAGCUGUGCUAAACAAUAGAUUUUCAGAGUAAAUGAAACAGCUCUCUAUUGGAAGGAGAUGCCUGGGACUUUCAUAACUAGAGAGAAGUCAAUGCCUGGCUUCAAAUCUUCAAAGGAUGGGCCAAUUCUCUUGUCAGGAGCUAUGCAGCUGGUGACUUUCAGUUUAAACCAAUGCUCAGUUACCAUUCCAAAAAUCCUGGGGCCCCAAAGA